UACCAGUCCUUUGCCAUGUUCAUCACAAUGACCUGCUUUCUUUCUGUGCUAUCUCAACCAAUGGGGCUUUAGAUGCUGGAGGUGCCUACUACGUGAUCAGCCGAGCCCUGGGUCUAGAGUUUGGCAGCUGCAUUGGGAUUGGGGUUUUUUGUGCCAAUUUGUGUGGCAGGGCUCUCUAGGUUUUGGGUCUGGUUGAGGCUAUCAUGUCUACCUUUGGCAUCCUUGAAGAGGAUACUGCAGGUCUCCAUCAGGUGUCACCCUCAGGAUACUGGUGGUCUCUGCUGUAUCUUGUACUGUUUUUCA